GGCCCAGUUCCCUCAGCCUCUCCUCGGAAGCCAUGUGCCCUUCUUCUUCCCGGGGAGGCUGCUCAGCCCGCUCCGCUGUGUGCUUCAUCCCAGAUCCUUGCAGCUCCCCCUCUCCUGAAUAAAAGUUGCCAGCGGCCCGAGCCUGGGGGAGGGCGAAGGGAGCUCGCUCCCAGCCCUGCCCCGGGUGCCUCCCCCGCCUGCUGCUGCUGCUGCUGUAGUAGUGGAGGCAGGAGCGGGGUUUCCUGUUGACACCGGAAUGCGGUGAGCGGCGGGGACGGCGAACGCCACCUUCUCGGACUCCCUCUCCCCUGCCGCCCUGCGCCGCUGCCCGCCGGAGCAGGGAGAAAGGGCCCGGCGGGACUGCAACUUGGGAGGCAAGCGGCGGCGGGAGCAAGCAGGCCGGGGAAGGGGAGGCUGCCCCCGGGGAGGCUGCAGGUGCCGCUGGGCCGGCCGGGGGCUCUCGGGGCAUGGGGGCGCCUGCCGCGUGAGCGCCCCGGCCGUGCCCCUCGCCCAUGGCUGAAGCCUGGAGGCUGGAAGAAGACGAGGAGGAGCUCGGCAGGAGGCACAGGAGGGGCAACUCGGGCUCGGUAUCAGAUCGCUCUGAAAGACAUAAACCAGACUACCGCUCUUCAGGCCAAGGACCCCUGUCAUCUAUUAAGGCAGCAAUCAAGAGAAGUAAGUCUUUUGUCUACUGUUGGUUAUAUUUUCCAAACUGUUGGGUUUUUGUUUUUUUUGGUUUUUUCCUCAAAAUGGAUCAUCUCUUUUGUUUGCUCAUGAGCUUUUUCUUGUUGCACAACACUAACAUUUUUCUUGUGUACAUUAGUGCUGAACUGGAUGUGUCGGAGGGUCUGAAGAACAUAGGUUGAAGUUUCCCAGUUUAAACUUUGUCAUACAGGGGUUCAUCUUGUACUCAGUGAAGUCAGUAGCAGAACUUCCAUUGACCUCAGUGGUAGCAAGAUAGGGCCCAUGCACAUGACUUCAUUUUGGAGUAGAAAUUCUGUUUUGUAAGUCUUGGAUGAAUGUCCUGUUCGUUCCAUUUAUGUAGUUUGUAAUCACCUCUUCCCCAUAUUUCUUGACAGAUAUUUACUUCAUCCAGACUUUCAAAACCCUGACUUCCUCUAUUUGUAUUUCUUGUUUGUUGCCCGUUAUCCAAGAGUGGAAUUUUGUAAAGAUUCAUGGUGUAAAUACUAAUGUAGAAUCAUAGAGAAGUAGGGCUGGAAGCAGUGGCGAUGCG
rnacentral:lncRNA from 1 species